rnacentral:rRNA from 1 species
UAAACUAGGAAUAGAUACCCUAUUAUUUUAAAUGUGAAUAUAAAUGCUAAAUUAGUAUUAGUUAAGAUCUUGAAAAUUAAAAAAUUUGGCGGUAUUUUAGUCUUUUCAGAGGAACCUGUCCUGUAAUUGAUAAUCCACGAUUUAGAAAACUUUACUUAUUAGUUUACAUAUCGUCGUAUAUAGAAUAUUUUAAAAGAAUAAUAAUAUUCAGGAAUUUUUAUUAAAAAGUAAAUCAGAUCAAGGUGUAGUUUAUAGUAAAGGAGAGAUGGGUUACAUUAAAUUUAUUUAA